AGCGAACACUGGCGGCAGGCCUAACACAUGUAAGUCGAGCGCCCCGCAAGGGGGGCGGCAGACGGGAGAGUAACACGUGGGAACAUGCCCUUCAGUUCGGAACAACCCAGGGAAACUUGGGCUAAUACCGAAUACGUCCGCAAGGAGAAAGAUUUAUCGCUGAAGGAUUGGCCCGCGUCCGAUUAGCUAGUUGGUGGGGUAAUGGCUCACCAAGGCGACGAUCGGUAGCUGGUCUGAGAGUAUGAUCAGCCUCACUGGGACUGAGACACGGCCCAGACUCCUACGGGAGGCAGCAGUGGGGAAUAUUGGACAAUGGGCGCAAGCCUGAUCCAGCCAUGCCGCGUGGGUGAUGAAGGCCCUAGGGUUGUAAAGCCCUUUCGGCGGGGAAGAUAAUGACGGUACCCGCAGAAGAAGCCCCGGCUAACUUCGUGCCAGCCGCCGCCGUAAAAC
rnacentral:rRNA from 1 species